UUAUUACAUAAGUCCACAAAUGUCAUAGAUUUAAACUUGAAUUUGAAAUAAAGUUAAAUUUCCUGUUCAGAUGUGUAUUUACUGGCAUAUUUAGAACUUUUUCAAGGAAAUGAGAGCAAAUGCUCCUGAUCGGGCAGAUUUUUAUUUGAUCGGCAAAAAGUCGUGAUUGCAGAUUACCAUGAUCGUCAACGUUGGGAACGUUAUUUCGAGCCCUGAAACUAGCAUGGUUUACAACUAUAGAAACGUACAUUUCCACAGGAGGGGUUGUGUUACACACACCAAAAUUUGAACUUCUGUUAUGUUUAAUUUUGUAUCUUUAAAGUAGGUGAAUAAAAUCUACCACAAGGUCUAUGUUCUGCUGUAACAUAAAGUGCAGGGUACAAAUUACAGACAAAAAAUCGAUUUGCAAACUUUUUUCAUGGAGAAUUUAAGGAAAUUUCACAGAAUCUUUUGAUAUAAUAAAAUGGAAACACUGACAAAUGAUUUGCAACAUUUGUUGUGAGUGAGUUGUGAAUAUUUUGAACAAAUUUCAACCAAAUGUUUCUUUUAAAUUUUACAUAUCCUUUCAGUACAAAAAUGCAAUAGGGAACAAGUAACAAAACAAAAUCUUGUUCAGUUUGCAAAGUUAGUUAAAUUAACAGUGCAUAACAAUUGUAAGAAGGGCAUGUUAUAUAAUUUUUUUAAAAGUUGCUUUGCAUUUUCCAAUUUUUAUAUGAAUUUUACUUGAAUUGCAAAACCUGAGAAGACUAAGACUGAAACUGGUAUUAAUUCAUACUCUGGAGCCAUUAUGUAGGGUUUCAGCUGCAAAUUUUAAAGUAAAAGAUACUUACUUUACUUGCUUAUUGACAAUUAUACCCAAACCACGUUUUGUUACAUUGAAUACUCGUCCCGUUUUACCAUGGUAAGACUUGUGAGGCAUACCCUUCUGUAUCGCACCAUCACCCUUUGAGAAUAGAGAUUUGUUUGAGUUAUUAUCACUGUUGCAAUGAAGUUCAAUGAAAAUAAUGGUGAGAAGAGAAACUUUAGUUUCCCA